GAAUCUGCCCUCAGGAGGGGGAUAACGGUUGGAAACGACCGCUAAUACCCCAUAUGCCGAGAGGUGAAACGAAAUUCGCCUGAGGAUGAGCCCGCGUCUGAUUAGCUAGUUGGUGGGGUAAAGGCCUACCAAGGCAUCGAUCAGUAGCUGGUCUGAGAGGAUGAUCGGCCACACUGGGACUGAGACACGGCCCAGACUCCUACGGGAGGCAGCAGUGGGGAAUUUUCCGCAAUGGGCGCAAGCCUGACGGAGCAACGCCGCGUGAGGGAUGAAGGCCUCUGGGCUGUAAACCUCUUUUCUCAAGGAAGAAGAACUGACGGUACUUGAGGAAUAAGCCACGGCUAAUUCCGUGCCAGCAGCCGCGGUAAUACGGGAGUGGCAAGCGUUAUCCGGAAUUAUUGGGCGUAAAGCGUCCGCAGGCGGCCUUGAAAGUCUGUCGUUAAAGCGUGGAGCUUAACUCCAUUUCGGCGGUGGAAACUACAAGGCUUGAGUGUGGUAGGGGCAGAGGGAAUUCCCGGUGUAGCGGUGAAAUGCGUAGAUAUCGGGAAGAACACCAGUGGCGAAGGCGCUCUGCUGGGCCAUAACUGACGCUCAUGGACGAAAGCUAGGGGAGCG
rnacentral:rRNA from 1 species